CCAUCAUUCUCUUUAGAGCUUGUCUUUGUUCCAGUUACCUGCUGUGAGUUGGGCCUGGACCUUGCUCUAAAACUCACUUCCACCCCCAGGUACCUAUCCUAAUCUGAACUGUGUUUGAGUUCCAGCCAUUUUCCAGGUCCCUAUUAGAACCUGUGAGACCACCUGCAUUCCUGCUGCGGACAUCCACUGGAACUCAGGCCACACAUCCAUCUGCCCAGAAGCAGAUUGCUGACAUUUCACCUCCACUCACCGAAUUUCAUCUGAAGCCAUGCACUUUUCAAGAUAAGGACCGAGAAGAUGAAGACGUUGCUAUACUUGUUCAGACUCUUUGGACAACUCACCAACCCUUGAAGGGGCCAGCCAGUCUUUACAGCCUGGUUAGUUCUGUACUUACUCCCAGGUUCCGCCUCUGCCUGACCAGACUGCUGCAGCAACCUGAUGUGCCUAUCUGACAGUUAAAAUGUUGACAUUUCUUUUCUCCUAUGCAUCAGUUUUGCACAGCUCUUUUCCUUUCAGAACUGCAGCAGCCUCACAGAUGUGUACAUGUGGACAAGGAGUACUAAAAUAAAAGCAAACGGACAGACAUUCAGCCCAGAUCCUUUCAAGUACUUGGAAAAGCAAUGUAAUUCUUUGCAAUAAAUAUCAAGCACUGCAAAACAG
rnacentral:lncRNA from 1 species